rnacentral:lncRNA from 1 species
UUACGAUUCGGACAGAUAAUGAUCAGCCGACAUUUUUGAUUUCGCUUAGUCGCACAAUUGAUUUUGGAAAUCGCCCAAUUUGCGACUUGCGAUUUUUGCUAAAAAAUGGUCGCCAAAUUUUGAAAAAAGUAGCCCAAAUUGCGACAAAUCGCCCAAUCUGGCCACACUGUGCCGAUCCUAUAGAAUUCUGACGAUAUGUAGAAUUCUACAUGACACAGAGUCCCACUGCUGUAUUUUGUUUGGAUUACGGAUACAGAGGGUUUGUGUUGUGCGUAGAUUUUUUGUUCGUUGAUUUUUUUUUUAAAUGGAAUGCUUUGUUUUCUACUGUAAAUUAAAAAUUGUGAAAGUAAAAUAAUUGUUGUGCAAGAAAUCAAGCCGCUAAGAGAGAUGGAAAGAUGGAAUUACAUAUGAAAAAAAAUAAUUUGAAUACCAGCAAGGCAACCAGUAGAUUGUGUCCAUAAAUGUAUAAAAAAGUGUAUACAGUCCUUUAAAAUGAGAGAACUUCUCUAGAAAUUAUUUGAGGUCAAUGUAUGUUGGACUUUAGCUACAACUGUUUGUGUUAAAUACCUAAUAUAUUUGAGAACUGCAGUGAGGAUUUCAUUAGAACAUUCGUAAGAAAUUAAAGUUCAAAAUAUUUAAUUAUCUGGCUAAUGUGUGCUAUUUGUUUUUUUAUUUAUUUAUUUAUUUAUCAACGGGCUAAACUAACAGCCCAGUAAAGUAACAAUAACAAAAAUAUGAUAAAAAUAAACUAUGCCUAUGAGUACAAAACAAGAAUUAAAAGAUAUAAUAUAUAAAAAAUACUCUAGGCGAUUGAAAACAGUCAAGAUGGGAUGCCAAUUAGUUGAAAAUAUUUCUUUAUUCUUCAUUUACCUAACAUAGUUUCAGUUAUAUAAACCGAUUUACACAGCGAUUCAGUGUUCUGAAAAAGUUCUAUAUCAUGUUACAUGUUUCAAAUUUUCACUCCAGGCUAUUUUUCAAAAUAUGGAAGCAAUUUUCUUGGCACACAUUGAAUAUGGGGCUGCGUUCAGAUAUUCAGGGUAGAUGCACCCAGGACCUAAAAUUUACGUCCUGCAACGUUCUAGAAUAAAGGAUAUUCUUAUAGAGAGAGACAUCUCAAUAUAAUUUCAAUGUAGUGGAACAAGAACAAACAUCUCUAGGUUGUUACGUCAUGUCCAAACAGACUAUCGUCCGCAAUGCCUGAACGCAGCCUGGAAGUAUUUCAUUAGACUGGAGACAUUAAUAAAAAAGUAUUCUGUGUAACUGGUUUGUAACUAUGGUCUGUCUCUGGUUUGUAACUAUUUUAUUUACAACUACUUACAUUCCAAAAGUAGGUACAAUAUUUUAAUUUAAAAAUGAAAAAAUGCAAAAUUUGUAAUUUUUUCUUGACAUAUUAUUCGAAAUCAGUAAAAUAAAUAACUUGACUUCUAAAUUUCUCAUUCAUUCUUUCGAAUUUAACAUGGAAAGCCAGAGUGUCAGAAAGUGAUAACAAUAAAGAGUAUUUUAACAUUGGCACCCCAUCAGGACUUAGAGAAGCUGCAGAAAGCAGAGGAAAGAAACAACCAAUGGAUGAGGUAAAUGGAAGUAGGAUGUAACUGUGGUUAAUGUAAUGGAUGUAAUUGUGAAGUGUUUUGACUCAUCCUAUUGUAUAUUAUAUAUAUUAGGUCAAAACUAGGUAUUAUUAUCUAUUAGUUUAUAUUAUCUUAUCUUGAAUAUAUUGAAGUGUACCUGA